rnacentral:piRNA from 1 species
UGCAUGAAUGAUGAAGUACAAGGGACAGAGA